UACGUAGGGUGCAAGCGUUAAUCGGAAUUACUGGGCGUAAAGCGUGCGCAGGCGGUUUUGUAAGCCAGAUGUGAAAUCCCCGGGCUUAACCUGGGAAUGGCAUUUGGGACUGCAAGGCUGGAGUGUGGCAGAGGAGACUGGAAUUCCCGGUGUAGCAGUGAAAUGCGUAGAUAUCGGGAGGAAUACCGAUGGCGAAGGCAGGUCUCUGGGCUGACACUGACGCUCAUGCACGAAAGCGUGGGGAGCGAACAGG
rnacentral:rRNA from 1 species